CGGGACGGGUGAGUAAUGUCUGGGGAAACUGCCUGAUGGAGGGGGAUAACUACUGGAAACGGUAGCUAAUACCGCAUAACGUCGCAAGACCAAAGAGGGGGAACCUUCGGGCCUCUUGCCAUCGGAUGUGCCCAGAUGGGAUUAGCUAGUAGGUGGGGUAACGGCUCACCUAGGCGACGAUCCCUAGCUGGUCUGAGAGGAUGACCAGCCACACUGGAACUGAGACACGGUCCAG
rnacentral:rRNA from 1 species